rnacentral:rRNA from 1 species
GAUGAACGCUGGCGGCGUGCCUAAUACAUGCAAGUCGAGCGAACAGACGAGGAGCUUGCUCCUCUGACGUUAGCGGCGGACGGGUGAGUAACACGUGGAUAACCUACCUAUAAGACUGGGAUAACUUCGGGAAACCGGAGCUAAUACCGGAUAAUAUAUUGAACCGCAUGGUUCAAUAGUGAAAGACGGUUUUGCUGUCACUUAUAGAUGGAUCCGCGCCGCAUUAGCUAGUUGGUAAGGUAACGGCUUACCAAGGCAACGAUGCGUAGCCGACCUGAGGGGGUGAUCGGCCACCCUGGAACUGCGACACGGUCCAGCCUCCUACGGGAGGCAGCAGUAGGGAAUCUUCCGCAAUGGGCGAAAGCCUGACGGAGCAACGCCGCGUGAGUGAUGAAGGUCUUCGGAUCGUAAAACUCUGUUAUUAGGGAAGAACAAAUGUGUAAGUAACUAUGCACGUCUUGACGGUACCUAAUCAGAAAGCCACGGCUAACUACGUG